rfam:Saccharomyces bayanus 623-6C YM4911-Contig02.648, whole genome shotgun sequence.
GGCCCUGAUGAUAACGGUGUCUCUUCUUUCCUCGUCCGAUUCGACCAUGACGACAUGGGAUUUUAUCUCGUUCCCUUAAUAUUAGUGGUUUUGAGAAGAUGAACAUCACCUCGGUGACGUUUUUCUUUCUCUUAGCCAUUGGUGUUUGCAAACGGGAACUUUUCUUGCCAGUGUUAUACAACACAUGCAGAUCUGAGCC